ACGAACGCUGGCGGCGUGCCUAAUACAUGCAAGUAGAACGCUGAAGAGAGGAGCUUGCUCUUCUUGGAUGAGUUGCGAACGGGUGAGUAACGCGUAGGUAACCUGCCUUGUAGCGGGGGAUAACUAUUGGAAACGAUAGCUAAUACCGCAUAACAAUGGAUGACACAUGUCAUUUAUUUGAAAGGGGCAAUUGUUCCACUACAAGAUGGACCUGCGUUGUAUUAGCUAGUAGGUGAGGUAAUGGCUCACCUAGGCGACGAUACAUAGCCGACCUGAGAGGGUGAUCGGCCACACUGGGACUGAGACACGGCCCAGACUCCUACGGGAGGCAGCAGUAGGGAAUCUUCGGCAAUGGGGGCAACCCUGACCGAGCAACGCCGCGUGAGUGAAGAAGGUUUUCGGAUCGUAAAGCUCUGUUGUAAGUCAAGAACGGGUGUGAGAGUGGAAAGUUCACACUGUGACGGUAGCUUACCAGAAAGGGACGGCUAACUACGUGCCAGCAGCCGCGGUAAUACGUAGGUCCCGAGCGUUGUCCGGAUUUAUUGGGCGUAAAGCGAGCGCAGGCGGUUUGGUAAGUCUGAAGUUAAAGGCUGUGGCUCAACCAUAGUUCGCUUUGGAAACUGUCAAACUUGAGUGCAGAAGGGGAGAGUGGAAUUCCAUGUGUAGCGGUGAAAUGCGUAGAUAUAUGGAGGAACACCGGUGGCGAAAGCGGCUCUCUGGUCUGUAACUGACGCUGAGGCUCGAAAGCGUGGGGAGCGAACAGGAUUAGAUACCCUGGUAGUCCACGCCGUAAACGAUGAGUGCUAGGUGUUGGAUCCUUUCCGGGAUUCAGUGCCGCAGCUAACGCAUUAAGCACUCCGCCUGGGGAGUACGACCGCAAGGUUGAAACUCAAAGGAAUUGACGGGGGCCCGCACAAGCGGUGGAGCAUGUGGUUUAAUUCGAAGCAACGCGAAGAACCUUACCAGGUCUUGACAUCCCGAUGCUAUUUCUAGAGAUAGAAAGUUACUUCGGUACAUCGGUGACAGGUGGUGCAUGGUUGUCGUCAGCUCGUGUCGUGAGAUGUUGGGUUAAGUCCCGCAACGAGCGCAACCCCUAUUGUUAGUUGCCAUCAUUCAGUUGGGCACUCUAGCGAGACUGCCGGUAAUAAACCGGAGGAAGGUGGGGAUGACGUCAAAUCAUCAUGCCCCUUAUGACCUGGGCUACACACGUGCUACAAUGGUUGGUACAACGAGUUGCGAGUCGGUGACGGCGAGCUAAUCUCUUAAAGCCAAUCUCAGUUCGGAUUGUAGGCUGCAACUCGCCUACAUGAAGUCGGAAUCGCUAGUAAUCGCGGAUCAGCACGCCGCGGUGAAUACGUUCCCGGGCCUUGUACACACCGCCCGUCACACCACGAGAGUUUGUAACACCCGAAGUCGGUGAGGUAACCUUUUGGAGCCAGCCGCCUAAGGUGGGACAGAUGAUUGGGGUG
rnacentral:rRNA from 1 species